rnacentral:rRNA from 1 species
UACGUAGACAGCAAGCGUUGUUCGGAAUUACUGGGCGUAAAGAGUGUGUAGGCGGUGCUCCAAGUCUGGUGUGAAAUCUCCCGGCUUAACUGGGAGGGUGCAUUAGAAACUGGAAUGCUAGAGGAUGGGAGAGGUAAGCGGAAUUCCUGGUGUAGCGGUGAAAUGCGUAGAUAUCAGGAGGAACACCUGUGGUGUAGACAGCUUACUGGACCAUUUCUGACGCUGAGACACGAAAGCGUGGGUAGCAAACAGG